UACACCGCACACUAYUUAAGAGGAGAUGAGCGGAGAACGACCGGAGAGGUAAACCGAUCACUUCUUGUAUAGAUAUAUUGAGCGAUAAGCGGAUUAAAGGUUAAACCGCACACAUCUUGUGCGGACUGGAUUUGAUUAGGGUUUGAUUGGAUAAGUAUCAAGAUUCAACCAGAUUCUAAAAUCGCUCAAAUCAUCAGAAACAGCAGGUUGACCAUAUGAGAAGCCAAGGGUGACAGCAUUGAACCAGACAGCAGCAACAUAUUCAGCAAGUUCUUUGCAGAUAGGAGUUUUGAGUGAUUUAGCUGCAGUAACAAGCGUCACAGGUUUAAACUCAAGACAGGACUGUCUUUACACAGCAGGUCUUGAUUGUGGUCUUGAUUUGUCAAUAAGAACAGCAACUGCUUCAUUUUCUGCAAGUAGCAGCAGCAAACAGUGUGCAGCAGCCUGUAUUAAAUAUUUGUGAGGGUUUUACUGUUGAAUGUACAUUAAGUUCAGGUUUUGUGACUGUGUUUGUGGAUUUGAGGACUGUCAAGACUAAAACAGUAGUCUUGUUCUUAAUAGUGUGCAGGGCUGAAACAGCA